rnacentral:rRNA from 1 species
GAUGAACGCUAGCUACAGGCUUAACACAUGCAAGUCGAGGGGAAACGACAUCGAAAGCUUGCUUUUGAUGGGCGUCGACCGGCGCACGGGUGAGUAACGCGUAUCCAACCUGCCCAUCACUUGGGAAUAACCUUGCGAAAGUAAGACUAAUACCCAAUGAUAUCCAUAGAAGACAUCUGAAAUGGAUUAAAGAUUUAUCGGUGAUGGAUGGGGAUGCGUCUGAUUAGCUUGUUGGCGGGGUAACGGCCCACCAAGGCAACGAUCAGUAGGGGUUCUGAGAGGAAGGUCCCCCACAUUGGAACUGAGACACGGUCCAAACUCCUACGGGAGGCAGCAGUGAGGAAUAUUGGUCAAUGGGCGAGAGCCUGAACCAGCCAAGUAGCGUGCAGGACGACGGCCCUAUGGGUUGUAAACUGCUUUUAGGCGGGGGUAAAGGAGCGGACGUGUUCCGCUUUUGCAAGUACCGCCAGAAAAAGGACCGGCUAAUUCCGUG